AUGGCCCUAGUGUGUGCCACCCUCAGCUACUCUGGCACUACCUUCCCAUGUAAGUAUCUGGGUCUUCCACUGUUGAUCCGUAAACACACGGCUGCGCAGUUCCAAGGGCUCGUUGACCAGUUCGCAACGCGUUUACCCCACUGGAAGGCGGAGACCCUCCCGAAGAGUAGUCAGGCUUUGCUGGUACAAUCUGUCCUCUCCGCAAUUCUGAUCCACUCGACGCUAGCUCUUGACCUCCCUCCGAGGACCAUUGCCACCAUGAUUAAGAUCUAACGUGACUUCCUAUGGGCUGGCAAGGCAGACGCGGGAGGAGGUGCUUGUGCUGUGGCCUGGGAGAGGGUGUGCACACCCAAGUCGGCCGGUGGCCUAGUUAUCUUGGACAUGAGGUGGAUGAAUGUGGCCCUCCAGACCAAGUGGCUUUGGUUGCAACGGACUGAUCAGAAUAGGCCUUGGUCAGAGUUCUUGUUCUCUGUACUGAAGGAAUCGAGGCAAAUAUUCCAGGAGGCGACCCGAGCGGUCGUGGGUGAUGGGCGAGGCACACUAUUAUGGGAGGAUAGAUGGCUUAAUGGAUGUCAGUUGUAG
rnacentral:rRNA from 1 species